UGAACGCUGGCGGCAGGCCUAACACAUGCAAGUCGAACGGUAACAGGCAGAAGCUUGCUUCUUUGCUGACGAGUGGCGGACGGGUGAGUAAUGUCUGGGAAACUGCCUGAUGGAGGGGGAUAACUACUGGAAACGGUAGCUAAUACCGCAUAACGUCGCAAGACCAAAGAGGGGGACCUUCGGGCCUCUUGCCAUCGGAUGUGCCCAGAUGGGAUUAGCUAGUAGGUGGGGUAACGGCUCACCUAGGCGACGAUCCCUAGCUGGUCUGAGAGGAUGACCAGCCACACUGGAACUGAGACACGGUCCAGACUCCUACGGGAGGCAGCAGUGGGGAAUAUUGCACAAUGGGCGCAAGCCUGAUGCAGCCACGCCGCGUGUAUGAAGAAGGCCUUCGGGUUGUAAAGUACUUUCAGCGGGGAGGAAGGGAGUAAAGUUAAUACCUUUACUCAUUGACGUUACCCGCAGAAGAAGCACCGGCUAACUCCGUG
rnacentral:rRNA from 1 species